rnacentral:rRNA from 1 species
AUUGAACGCUGGCGGCAUGAUUUACACAUGCAAGUCGAACGGUAACAGGCCGCAAGGUGCUGACGAGUGGCGAACGGGUGAGUAAUGCAUCGGAACGUGCCCAGUCUUGGGGGAUAACUACUCGAAAGAGUAGCUAAUACAGCAUACGAUCUAUGGAUGAAAGCGGGGUACCGUAAGGCCUUGCGCGAUUGGAGCGGCCGAUGUCAGGUUAGGUAGUUGUUAGGGUAAAGGCUCACCAAGUCAAAGAUCUGGAGCUGGUCUGUGAGGAUGAGCAGCCACACUGGGACUGAGACUCGUCCCAGACUCCUACGGGAUGCAGCAGUGGGGAAUUUUGGACAAUGGGCGCAAGACUGAUCCAUCAAUGCCGCGUGCAGGAAGAAGGCCUUCGGCUUGUAAACUGCUUGUGUUCGGAACGAAACGUAUUUGGUUAAUACUCGGGGCUAAUGACGGUACCGUAAGAAUAAGCACCGGCUAACUACGUG